rnacentral:lncRNA from 1 species
AUGCACUCGCACCUUCCCUCCCUAGGAGCAAAAUGGGGCCGAGGGAGGGGCGGCCAAGGCCGGCUGGAGGCCCGGGAUCCAGUCCGGGGCGGCCAGGCUCCGGGGCCGGCGCUCCUGGAGCCGGGGUCACCCUCAGGACACCCGGUCCCCGGCCUCCCCAUGCCUCCCUCCCCUCCGCGCCCCAACUCCUCUCCCGCCCCAGCCCCGCCACCCACUAACCGGGAGAGGAAGUUUCCCGGAGCCCGCAGCUGGCUCCGGGCCUUCAGCGGGUUACCUGCUGCAGAGGCGGGACGCGGGGCAGGGAGCAGGGGAGGGAGACAGUCCGAGGGCGCGCAGGACGGUGCCCGGCGAGGAGGGUGGGCGGCGGCGGCUGUCAGCUCCGUCCCUGCUCACCGCGCUGCCAUUACUGCGCGCAGGCGCCUCCCGCUGGCCGCCACCACGGCCGAGGAGCGGGGCAGGCCCGGGGCCGGGGCCAGGGCGCUCACCUGCCGUCGCGGGAACACGGGAGAGCUCCCGGAUGGAACGGCGCAGUGGGGAGCGGACAGGGGAGAAGGGCGGGCGAGCCACGCGAGCGAUGAAACAACCGUCCUCCGAGGCCCCGCUUUCCUGGCACAGCCUCGAUUCCUCUUCCGCGACCACAAAACACCCCUCCUGCGCCGGCGUUGGUAGAGUCCGAGUACGGCGAGGGCCGAGGGCCACUCUUGUGCGGUCGCGGAAGGCCGAGAGAACCUUGCUCCAAGCCACUGCGAGCGGUCCCAGCUGCCCACGAGCGCUCGCGGUUCGCUGAGCUGGCGACUGAGGACCCCUAAGUCUGGGGGCUGCUGAUAACAAUGUGUUAGAAAAUGGUUUCAACACAGGAUUUCCCCUAAAGUUCUUUUAGAACUACGUGAACAUUCUGGUACACCACCAUCUCCUUCCACCUACUUACUUCUAUGGGCGUUUCAAAGGAUUGAUAGGUAUUAGCAAAAUUAGUUUCCUCGGACAUACUCCUUUUCUAGUGGGUUUUAUCUGUAGACAUUCUGAGACAUAAAUAUGUAUUUUC